GUUCAUCAUAAUAAUAUAUACUAAAAUUGGAACAGUACAGAGAAGAUAGAAGAUUAGAAUGGCCCUUGCGCAAGAAUGACACGCAAAUGUGUGAAGCGUUCCAUAUAUUU